GGCGGUCCCCUGGGUAGUGGAUCACGGCGUAGGGCAUUGAUUGGUGGUUCAAUACGAAGUCGCCUCUUCCGACGCCUCCGUUCAGCAGCGGCUUCUUCCGCAGAUGAAAAAGCAAAUGAUCGAUGAGGUAGAAGGAAAUUAGGGUUUUGAGGAUUGUGAACGGAUGUUGUGAUUUGAGUUCUGACGGCGGCGACAGUGGCGGAGGAACGGCGGAGAGAGCGGAGGAGUAUGGCAUACAGUGCCAUGGCGGUGAGGAUUUAGGCG
rnacentral:misc_RNA from 1 species